rnacentral:hammerhead_ribozyme from 1 species
AUCCAGCUGACGAGUCCCAAACAGGGCGAAACGCACGUCCUGGAU